ACAGUUUCUUUUCCCUCUCAAGAGAAGCUCAGAAAAAUCCAGACAGGAGCAACGACGCAACUCGACCAAAAACUCCUAAAAGUUUCAUCUAUGAAUUUCCUUGACUACUUCAUUUUCCUCACGAUUAUAGCAUCUAAAUUUCAGUCUAGCAAACCAUUUUCAGACUAAAAAAAAUCAUGUUUAGCAGGCAACGCAUUCAUUGAUAAACAUGUUUUACAUACAUUUGUGUAUACCAAGAAGCAAGAAACUGAAUAAAGUGAUGAACUUCAUAUAUAUGUAUACUUUUUCUUUACAUACAUGAAUGAACAUGAUUAAAUGAAAUAGAAGGAGGAUUUUUGGACUUAAAAGCUGAACUGGGGGUUUGGUCGUGAGUCAACGGCCGGUCGUCGAUGGCUUACCACUGACUUAGAGGGCAGCGGCCGUGGCUUCACGGCGGUCGCCUGAGACGGAAGGGGGGUUGGCUUCUGGCUUGUGUCGUCGGCGGCGGCCAUGGCUACUGCUAUGGUCGCCGGAAAUUAGAGAGAGAGGAGACCGGAUUUCGGAGCCUAGGGCUAGGUGGCGGCGACUCUGCCAUCGUUCUGUCCGGAGCAGGGGAGAGGAGAAACAGAGGGAGAUGAGGGAGAGAGGUUGACCGAUGGUGGCUGCCAUGUCGCCGGAAAUUUCGGAGAGAGACGAGGUCAGGGGGGCGGCUGCUACCGCUCGAGAUACGAGCGGCGGCGGCCGGAGUUGAGAAGGCAAAUCACCGGAGCUGGCAAAUCAGAGAGAAGGAGGGGGAAGGGAGUCGGCGCAGGAUCUGGGUUGAGCGUGUCUGUGAGAAUGGAGGGAGAGAGGAGCAGACGAGGGGAGCGGCGCUGCCGGUCAGGUGCGGCUUCGCCGGAGGAAGGGCUGCGGCAUGAGAUUUGGUGUGUGUGUGCCGCUGCGUGAGUGUUUGUGCUCUGUGUGUGUGCGCGCGCGCGUGAAUAUUUGGAGAAGGGGGGGCUGCCGUAUUAUUUGAUUUGGG
rnacentral:lncRNA from 1 species